rnacentral:rRNA from 1 species
CCUACGGGAGGCAGCAGUGGGGGAUAUUGCACAAUGGGGGGAACCCUGAUGCAGCGACGCCGCGUGGGUGAAGGAGUAUUUCGGUAUGUAAAGCCCUAUCGGCAGGGAAGAAGCAAGACGGUACCUGACUAAGAAGCCCCGGCUAACUACGUGCCAGCAGCCGCGGUAAUACGUAGGGGGCGAGCGUUAUCCGGAUUCACUGGGUGUAAAGGGAGCGUAGACGGCCAUGCAAGCCAGGGGUGAAAGCCCGGGGCCCAACCCCGGGACUGCCCUGGGAACUGCAUGGCUGGAGUGCGGGAGGGGCAGGCGGAAUUCCUGGUGUAGCGGUGAAAUGCGUAGAUAUCAGGCGGAACCCCGGCGGCGAAGGCGGCCUGCUGGACCGCGACUGACGUUGAGGCUCGAAAGCGUGGGGAGCGAACAGGAUUAGAUACCCUGGUAGUC